rnacentral:lncRNA from 1 species
AAAGAAAAGAAGUUAUGAUAACUCACUUCCUUCCGGGACACGGGCAACAAAGUCUGACUUCUUGGGUUUUUUAUUGUUGUAGUUGUUGCUUGUGAUGGUGGGGUGGUUUGAAAUGAGAAGUGAGAAGUUAGGGCUGACUAAAACAAGAAAUAAGGAGAACAUAAAGUAAUCAUUAUUUUUAAAGUACAAGAAAAGAGAAUGUCUUGAAGAUAAAUGUAUAGUAAAUAUUCAUAUAGUCAAGAAAUGGAAUAGAUGCAGCCAGAGAUGAUGGGGCACAAAAUGCCAAGGAGACAUCUAGAGAAGAAACUGUGGUUCUGCCAUAUGGCAGAGACAGAUUGUUUAGCCCACCAGUACAUCAAGUCUGCUCUAACUCUCUACAGGCCGGUGCAGCAGUGUGUGUUCUCUUCAUUACGACUUAAAAAAUGUAAACAAUCACAAUAA